rnacentral:rRNA from 1 species
GAUGAACGCUGGCGGCGUGCCUAAUACAUGCAAGUCGAGCGAACAGACGAGGAGCUUGCUCCUCUGACGUUAGCGGCGGACGGGUGAGUAACACGUGGAUAACCUACCUAUAAGACUGGGAUAACUUCGGGAAACCGGAGCUAAUACCGGAUAAUAUAUUGAACCGCAUGGUUCAAUAGUGAAAGACGGUUUUGCUGUCACUUAUAGAUGGAUCCGCGCCGCAUUAGCUAGUUGGUAAGGUAACGGCUUACCAAGGCAACGAUGCGUAGCCGACCUGAGAGGGUGAUCGGCCACACUGGAACUGAGACACGGUCCAGACUCCUACGGGAGGCAGCAGUAGGGAAUCUUCCGCAAAGGGCGAAAGCAUGACGGAGCAACGCCGCGUGAGUGAUGAAGGUCUUCGGAUCGUAAAACUCUGUUAUUAGGGAAGAACAAAUGUGUAAGUAACUAUGCACGUCUUGACGGUACCUAAUCAGAAAGCCACGGCUAACUACGUG